rfam:Ciona savignyi cont_33229, whole genome shotgun sequence.
GCCUCUGACCUUUCCAGAUUGAAUAUACCCGAUCUCGUCUGAUCUCGGAAGUCAAGCAAUCUCGGGCUUGGUUAGUACUUGGAUGGGUGACCGCUUGGGAAUACCAAGUGUGAUAAGCA